GGUACCAAUUUGCUUAAAAUAUUUCUCAUAAAGAUUUCUUACAAUGUUUCUUGAAAUGUUAUUUGAUCUUCUUAAAUUGGAGUUUUUGCAGAAUCUGUGGAUGAUAUCAAAGUACUGGAGAGAUCUCCAAAUAUCUAUUCCAAGAGGAACCACCUAUUGGCUGAGGCAGAGGUGGUGGGAGGAGAGGGAGGCGUAGAGGUGGCCCAACUGGUAUUAUGGCUGAAACCUUUAUUUUAUUAUUCUUUUGACCUGUACUAAGGGCUUUGAGCAACAUUAUUGGUAUCCUUUAUUUUUCCUCAUUAUAUAGCCUUCAAACUUUGUAGAGAUAAUUUUGAUUUAAUUUAAGAUCUUUUUGUCUGCAGGGAGUUGGGCCCAGUAUAGCAAUAAGCUUUUCGGUGUACUGAGACUUUUACUGAGAUGAUUUUACUUGUGGGCAUCCUUUUGUAUAUAAAUGUGGUGUAUGAUUCUUUAUUUUUUACUAAGCUUGAUGAUUCUACCGUAUUGGUGAGCCUUGCUUAUGGUAAUCUUUCUGGCAUUGCAUCAUCAACAAGUGGGAAACUUAUAAUGGUGAUUGAGUUAUAAUAUAUUACAACUUGAAACAUUUCUGUUUUAUUAGUUCAGUUGAAGGUAGGCUUAACAUGCUAAAUUAUUACGAUAUUUUACUUGCUGGGCAUUUUGUUUUCUUGAGUUGGUUAUGUCUAGAUAUGUAAUUCAGGCUGUAUGGAAAUUCGGUAAAUUUCUUCAGCAUAAGUUUGCUUCCAUUUCUGCAUCUUUCAUCUUUUUGCAUCUACGGUUUGCCUCUCUUGACAACUUGUUGCUUUUCCUUGUUUCUUUUUUAUAUCUUCAGCUUCUAAGUUUGAGCAGCAUGUUGGUCGCAAGACGAAGCACCCUAAGAACCAGAUAUACUUUGUGAAUGGCAAGAUCCAUCAGAUAGUUUAGGAGUUGAGAAGAACCUCAGAGAGUAUGCAAUCCAGCUCUCCUAUAAAUCAAAAGGCCUUCUACACUUGGAAAGAAUCAUUUGGAGACCCGCGAGCUUCAGCGUAUAUAUGGGAAGGAAGAGCUAAACAUAUGAGUAAGAGUAUUUUCAUAAAGGCAGCCUGGUCUUGGGAGCAGGCUGGUAUAGUGGCUCAUUUUAUGUGGAGCCCAAGUACUGUAAUAUUGUACAUGCAUUUGCUAAAUUGAGAUUUAUGUAUAUUUUGUGUGGUAGGAGCUUAAGAGAUUGGUUGUGCAUAUGCAGCAAGCAAUGUAAAUUUUUUGACCAACA